AAAAACAUAACCUUUAGCCAAACAAAUAUUAAAGGCAACGCCUGCCCAGUGAAUAAUUAAACGGCCGCGGUACCCUAACCGUGCAAAGGUAGCGUAAUCAUUUGUCUACUAAUUAUAGACCUGUAUGAAAGGCAAAAUGAGGGUUUAACUGUCUCUUAUAAUAAAUCAAUUAAACUGAUCUCCUAGUAAAAAAGCUAGGAUAAUAACAUAAGACCAGAAGACCCUGUGAAGCUUAAAUCAAACUAUUAAACCAUAUAAUAACUACUUUCGGUUGGGGCGACCUUGGAAAAAAAAAGAACUUCCAAGACCCAGCACAGCUGAUAAUUGAACCAAGUUACUCCAGGGAUAACAGCGCAAUCUUCUUCAAGAGCCCAUAUCAAAAAGAAGGUUUACGACCUCGAUGUUGGAUCAGGACAUCCUAAUGGUGCAGCCGCUAUUAAGGGUUCGUUUGUUCAACGAUUAACAGUCCUACGUGAUCUG
rnacentral:rRNA from 1 species